UGGGGAAUAUUGCGCAAUGGGCGAAAGCCUGACGCAGCGACGCCGCGUGAGGGAUGAAGGUUUUCGGAUCGUAAACCUCUGUCAGAAGGGAAGAAACCGCACUGUGCUAAUCAGCAGUGCCUUGACGGUACCUUCAAAGGAAGCACCGGCUAACUCCGUGCCAGCAGCCGCGGUAAUACGGAGGGUGCAAGCGUUAAUCGGAAUUACUGGGCGUAAAGCGCACGUAGGCUGCUUUGUAAGUCAGGGGUGAAAUCCCACGGCUCAACCGUGGAACUGACUUUGAUACUGCUUAGCUUGAAUCCGGGAGAGGGUGGCGGAAUUCCAGGUGUAGGCGUGAAAUCCGUAGAUAUCUGGAGGAACAUCAGUGGCGAAGGCGGCCACCUGGACCGGUAUUGACGCUGAGGUGCGAAAGCGUGGGGAGCAAACAGG
rnacentral:rRNA from 1 species